CCCCCUUGCUGCGGCUACCAUGCAAGUCGAACGGUAACAGGAAGCAGCUUGCUGCUUCGCUGACGAGUGGCGGACGGGUGAGUAAUGUCUGGGAAACUGCCUGAUGGAGGGGGAUAACUACUGGAAACGGUAGCUAAUACCGCAUAACGUCGCAAGACCAAAGAGGGGGACCUUCGGGCCUCUUGCCAUCGGAUGUGCCCAGAUGGGAUUAGCUAGUAGGUGGGGUAACGGCUCACCUAGGCGACGAUCCCUAGCUGGUCUGAGAGGAUGACCAGCCACACUGGAACUGAGACACGGUCCAGACUCCUACGGGAGGCAGCAGUGGGGAAUAUUGCACAAUGGGCGCAAGCCUGAUGCAGCCAUGCCGCGUGUAUGAAGAAGGCCUUCGGGUUGUAAAGUACUUUCAGCGGGGAGGAAGGCGAUAAGGUUAAUAACCUUGUCGAUUGACGUUACCCGCAGAAGAAGCACCGGCUAACUCCGUGCCAGCAGCCGCGGUAAUACGGAGGGUGCAAGCGUUAAUCGGAAUUACUGGGCGUAAAGCGCACGCAGGCGGUCUGUCAAGUCGGAUGUGAAAUCCCCGGGCUCAACCUGGGAACUGCAUUCGAAACUGGCAGGCUAGAGUCUUGUAGAGGGGGGUAGAAUUCCAGGUGUAGCGGUGAAAUGCGUAGAGAUCUGGAGGAAUACCGGUGGCGAAGGCGGCCCCCUGGACAAAGACUGACGCUCAGGUGCGAAAGCGUGGGGAGCACACAGGAUUAGAUACCCUGGUAGUCCACGCCGUAAACGAUGUCGACUUGGAGGUU
rnacentral:rRNA from 1 species